rnacentral:tRNA from 1 species
GGAAGAUUGGCAGAGAGGCUUAUUGCGCUAGUCUUGAAAACUAGAGGUCCUGGUGACAGGUCCCGUGAGUUCGAAUCUCACAUCUUCCU